AGCGGCAGAGUGAAACAGUUUACACGUUUGUCUCAUAAGCAAAAAACACCAGGUGCGACUCCUGUGUGCCGCUA
rnacentral:tRNA from 1 species